CAAAGGCUUCGGCCGGUAAAGGAUGGGGAUGCGUCUGAUUAGCUUGCCGGCGGGGUAACGGCCCACCGGGGCGACGAUCAGUAGGGGUUCUGAGAGGAAGGUCCCCCACAUUGGAACUGAGACACGGUCCAAACUCCUACGGGAGGCAGCAGUGAGGAAUAUUGGUCAAUGGGCGCGAGCCUGAACCAGCCAAGUAGCGUGCAGGACGACGGCCCUAUGGGUUGUAAACUGCUUUUAUACGGGGAUAAAGUAUGCCACGUGUGGUUUAUUGCAGGUACCGUAUGAAUAAGGACCGGCUAAUUCCGUGCCAGCAGCCGCGGUAAUACGGAAGGUCCGGGCGUUAUCCGGAUUUAUUGGGUUUAAAGGGAGCGUAGGCCGGGUUUUAAGCGUGCCGUGAGAUGUCGGGGCUCAACCUUGACACUGCGGCGCGAACUGGAGUCCUUGAGUGCGCGGAACGUAUGCGGAAUUCGUGGUGUAGCGGUGAAAUGCUUAGAUAUCACGAAGAACCCCGAUUGCGAAGGCAGCAUACGGCAGCGCUACUGACGCUGAAGCUCGAAGGCGCGGGUAUCGAACAGGAUUAGAUACCCUGGUAGUCCGCGCGGUAAACGAUGGAUGCCCGCUGUUGGCGAUAUAUUGUCA
rnacentral:rRNA from 1 species